AGAGCGUAUGGUGGAUGCCUUGGCACUAAGAGCCGAUGAAAGACGUGAUAAGCUGCGAAAAGCUUCGGGGAGGAGCAAAUAUCCUUUGAUCCGGAGAUUUCUGAAUGGGGAAACCUACUUGAGCAAACCUCAAGUAUCCUUAAGCCAAUACAUAACUUAAGGAAGGGAACCCGGUGAACUGAAACAUCUAAGUAGCCGGAGGAAGAGAAAACAACAUGUGAUUCUGUGAGUAGCGGCGAGCGAAAACGGAAGAGCCCAAACCAGCGUGCGUGCAUGCUGGGGUUCGGACCGCGGAAUUGAUUCAACGAGUUUAGCAGAACGGUUUUGGGAAAGCCGGCCAGAGAGGGUGAAAGCCCCGUAAGCGAAAGACGAGUUGACAUGGCGGGAUCCAGAGUACCACGAGACACGUGGAACCUUGUGGGAAGAUGCGGGGACCACCCCGUAAGGCUAAAUACUACUUAGUGACCGAUAGCGCAUAGUACUGUGAAGGAAAGGUGAAAAGGACCCCGGGAGGGGAGUGAAAAAGAACCUGAAACCAUAUGUUUACAAGCUGUGGAAGAGCUUUAUAUGCUCAACCGCGUACUUUUUGUAGAACGGUCCGGCGAGUUACGCUGGCUGGCGAGGUUAAGGACUAAAGGUCCGGAGCCGAAGGGAAACCAAGUCUGAAUAGGGCGCAUAGUCAGUCGGAGUAGACCCGAAACCGGGUGAUCUAUCCAUGUCCAGGUUGAAGUUGCCGUAAAAGGCAAUGGAGGACCGAACCCACAUCCGUUGAAAAGGGUGGGGAUGAGGUGUGGAUAGGGGAGAAAUUCCAAUCGAACCCGGAGAUAGCUGGUUCUCCUCGAAAUAGCUUUAGGGCUAGCCUCAUACGAGUCUUGCGGAGGUAGAGCACUGAAUUCCUAAGGGGGCGUCAAAGCUUACUAAGGGAUAUCAAACUCCGAAUGCCGUGUAGAUGAUGUAUGGGAGUCAGACGAUCCGAGAUAAGUUGGGUGGUCAAAAGGGAAAGAGCCCAGACCAACAGCUAAGGCCCCAAAAUGUGUGUUAAGUGGAAAAGGAUGUGGGAUUUCGAAGACAACUAGGAUGUUGGCUCAGAAGCAGCCAUUCAUUCAAAGAGUGCGUAAUAGCUCACUAGUCGAGAGGUCCUGCGCCGAAAAUGUCCGGGGCUAAAACACACUGCCGAAGCUUUGGAAUUGAGAAUUCAAUUGGUAGAGGAGCAUUCUUAAAGGGACGAAGCAGUACCGAAAGGAGCUGUGGACUUUUAAGAAGAGAGAAUGCCGGAAUGAGUAGCGAGAGGAAGGUGGGAAUCCUUCCGGCCGAAUAUCUAAGGUUUCCAGAGUAAAGCUGAUCUGCUCUGGGUAAGUCGGGGCCUAAGGCGAGGUCGAAAGACGUAGUCGAUGGAUAACAGGUUGAAAUUCCUGUACUAUCCUGUAACAGAACUGUGGGGACACAGGCAGAGAGCGUGAGCCGGGAAUGGAAAGACCGGUACAAGCGAGGUAGGAGAAGAGUUGGCAAAUCCGCUCUUUAAUCUGAAGACGUGAUGUGGACUGAAAAUAAGUAGGGAAGCACGUGAGCUGACUGUCAAGAAAAGCCGCUAUUGUUUGCAGGAUACCCGUACCGUAAACCGACACAGGUGGAUGAGGAGAGAAUCCUAAGGCCGACGGGAGAAGCAUUGUUAAGGAACUCGGCAAAAUGACUCCGUAACUUCGGGAGAAGGAGUGCCAGUAAGAUGGCCGCAGAGAAUUGGCCCAAGCAACUGUUUAGCAAAAACACAGGUCUAUGCAAAACCGAAAGGUGAGGUAUAUGGGCUGACGCCUGCCCGGUGCUGGAAGGUUAAGGGGAGAGGUUAGCGCAAGCGAAGCUUUGAACUUAAGCCCCAGUAAACGGCGGCCGUAACUAUAACGGUCCUAAGGUAGCGAAAUUCCUUGUCGGGUAAGUUCCGACCCGCACGAAAGGCGUAAUGAUUUGGGCACUGUCUCAACAAUGCACCCGGUGAAAUUGAAAUACCAGUGAAGAUGCUGGUUACCUGCGCCAGGACGGAAAGACCCCAUGGAGCUUUACUCCAGCUUGAUACUGGGAUUCGGUAUUGCAUGUACAGGAUAGGUGGGAGGCUAGGAAAUGGUAACGCCAGUUGCCAUGGAGCCGCUGUUGGGAUACCACCCUUGCAGUACUGGGUUUCUAACCAGCAGCCGUGAUCCGGCUGGGGGACAAUGUCAGGUGGGGAGUUUGACUGGGGCGGUCGCCUCCGAAAGGGUAUCGGAGGCGCUCAAAGGUUCCCUCAGAAUGGUUGGAAACCAUU
rnacentral:rRNA from 1 species